rnacentral:rRNA from 1 species
CUUGAACGCUGGCGGCAGGCCUAACACAUGCAAGUCGAACGAGUGGCGGACGGGUGAGUAAUGUCUGGGAAACUGCCUGAUGGAGGGGGAUCACUACUGGAAACGGUAGCUAAUACCGCAUACCAUCGGAUGUGCCCAGAUGGGAUUAGCUAGUAGGUGGGGUAAAGGCUCACCUAGGCGACGAUCCCUAGCUGGUCUGAGAGGAUGACAGGCCACACUGGAACGGAGACACGGUCCAUACUCCUACGGGAGGCAGCAGUGGGGAAUAGUGCACAAGGGGGGCGAGCCUGAUGCAGCCAUGCCGCGGGUAGGAAGAAGGCCUGCGGGUUGGAAAGUACUUUCAGCGGGGAGGCGUUACCCGCAGAAGAAGCACCGGCUAACUCCGUGCCAGCAGCCGCGGUAAUAC